GGUGGGUGGUGCUAUCCGAAAUCUUUGAAUCACCUUUUAUGUCUAUAAUAAUUCAUUGAGCAUAUUUAUAUUUGUAGUUAUGCAUUAUAGGGUAUUGGCAUUGUGCAAGUGAAAGUGUGAAUUCCUAUCAACAGUGAGAACAUGUGAACAUUAGAAUGUGGACAUAGAACCCUAUGAUUGUAUGGACUAUAACAAUAGUGAACUUGGUGACAUUCUAACUAGAGAUUUGGUUAGCAUCGAGAAAUGAAAUUGCAACUAGCAUAAAGAGCUAGUUAGAGUUAAAGUGUGACAUUGUCUGUUGUUGAAUCCUCUAAAGGAGGAUCAGAUCAUACUCACAUAGUCUGUUUUGAGCGUGGUGGUGGUCGCUCCACCCAAGCAGUGCACUCCGGAGGUUGUCACAUGAUGGGCUAAAGUAUUUGCCCAUGGACUAAAGUAUCUGUCCAGCAGACGAUCCCGUCGGGAUGCAGCUUAGGGCCCGAUUAUCAGGGAUUGCGUUGGUGAGUUAUUGUUAAUCAAAAGGUUAACCAAAAGAUUGGAUAAAUUCAGUAAAAGCAUGCAUGCGUAUUUACAGUUUUCAUAUAUUGCUUCUUUUAGCUUUGUACAGGCACUGUAGUACUUACAUGUUAUAGUUGGUUACUAUCUGUUUACUUCUUUUGCCUACAUAUGCUUGAAUAGACCUAGUGGGUGAGUCGGCGAGGUCGGCGGCCGAACCCACUGGGAACUUUUAGUAGUUCUUACACCACUAACCAUGCAGGUUCUAGCUCGUGUGAGGUGAUCGAGGAUCGUGAUAUGGACAGCGUUCCAUAGAUAGUGGACAUCCAUUGAGUAUAGUUGUACCUUAUUUAUUUCAUCUAUUUAUAGUCAAUGAAAGCAAAUGUAAAUUAUUCAUUUGAGAAAUGACAAUGUAUAUAUUGGAAGAAUGAAUGUAAUAAUUAUGUAAGCUUGGUAUUUGAUUUAAAGUAGUUAAGAUACAAUGUAUGAAUGGUUUAGUUAGUUUACUUUCACUUGUGCUUGUUGCUUGCCCUCGUGCAAGUCAUGUAUAUUGAAAUAUUCUCUUGGGAUUAUUUUUUUCUUUAUACAUGCAGCUAUAAUUGUUGAGCCUUGGGCGGACAGGGGAGGUGCUGUCCGUUCGGCGUCUGUGUACGGGCCCGAAUCGACCAAAUUGGCGAUAGCGGGACGUGACAGAUUAAAUGGUAUCAGAGCAAUGCAAGUGAAAGUAUAGGAUGGACCUAGGGACCUUAGGAUGGAAAACCAUAAGGAUCUAGGUUCGUGAGAGACGAGAAUCUUAGUGUGUGGCGAAAGAUUAAACCGAUUGGGUCAUAUGUUAUAUACCUCUACAAAGGAUGUUAGAGGUGAAUCCAAGGUGUAGUUUAUUCUCAGCAGGGAGAGUUCAUGUUGGAUGCAUACAACAUGAAACCGAGUGAUGAGAAUAGGCUCCCUUGUAUGAUCUUCGCCUGAUUUGAGUUGGGGUUGAUGAUAGUUGUCUCGUGUUUGACCUGGAGGGUCAAAAUUUGGUCACGUAUUUGUGCGUUUACUAGUUUUGUGUCGCCGAUCUCUAAUGAGAUCGAUGUGGUUUGGGGAUGAGUGAAGUCCCUAAAUUGACUGAGCUUAGAGGAAACUCGAAGCUCUGGGGUCGGUUAGUCAUGUUUGUUGUAGUAUGGUAGCGAUGAGUCAUUGCGAUGCAAUGUCAACAGGAGGCUGUCUUGCGUUUGGCAAAUUGGAUCGAUGAGCUUCAGAGGGCUGUGAAGUAAGGUAAUGUGGCUCCUCGCUUUGUGGCACAGAAAAUAAAAUGAGAGCUAUUAUAGAUUGGUUCCCGAGAAGUUUUCUCUGGAAGGAUUUGUAUAUCUGAAACAGAAUAAAGAAUAUGCUGUUAAGAGUAAACGACAAGUGAAUUAUCGGAUAAGCUUUGGAUGCUAUAGCAGGGUGACUGCUCAGUGGAAGAGUAUGUAGAGAAGUUUUUCUGCACAGUAAAUUGUGUUUAGUACACAAUGUGAGAUAUUGGACUGUUAUGGUGGGUGAAGACUACUAAAUAAUGUGUCAAAGUUGUGCAUUUUAUAAAUCGCUAUCCUCGGAUGAAGUAUUAGAUCAAACCUUGUGGUUGAAGUCAGGUGAUAUUUCGCGCGGAGGGAGCGCGAACUGAUUAGUUGAUAAUGGAGGGUGAGCGACUGAUGUAUGGUUUGGGUGGUCAAUGGAGCAUUAAGCGACACCCAGAAGAGAAUUGCAGAUGCGAUUUCAAUGUCGAAAAGUUCUUCUGGCUGACUUUUUGAGAGGAAUGGUAGUGGUAGCUUUCACCCGGCGAGGCCGUGUGUAUUAUUGGAUAAGUGAAGUUGCAGUAAAUUGACUUCAGUAGGAAGAUUGUAUACCUGGAAGCGAUGCGAACUCCGAGUGGUACAUACAAGAAUGUAAUAGAGAUCUAGAUUUGGGUAGAUGUAAUACCCUAGUGUGCAUAGAUGAUGCCAGUGAAUGGUUUAUAGUAAACCAAUGUUAGAGCUCGAGUAUACCUGAAACUGGUGAACUGGUUCUUUAAGUGUUAAAGGUGAUAGUUAGAGCCAAGUUAAGACGUUAGAAAACGUUCCUAAAGUGUGAGAAGUCGGACGAUGUUCCAAUGAAUCGCGUAGUGGUAAUAGCGUCGUUGUUGUAGAGUGGUUAGAUGAUCGCCUAGUUUUGGCGAGUUAAUCGAGCGGUACCUCAAAUAAGUUGAGGGAAUUUGUGUUUGUGCAUCAUAGGCAUAGGCUGAGUUGCCUAGUGUGUGGUAUUUAGUAAGAAACGUGAUAGUAUAGGACGCUCAAAUAUAGAUGUCCAUAGAGUAUGGAUUGGGCAGUAGCACUUGAGCGUUGCCAGGUGUGAAGCGUGCCAUGGAUCACUCGUGCGGCUGGUGGCUCGCACUAAGUGCUUAGGAGCUGAUAGUGAUGUGGAUUGCUCGAUAGAACGUUUCAUGAAUGACGACGAUUGAGGAUAGUGCUUUCGGACGAUCCGUGCCUGGACCAUAUGUGCGCUGUGAGGCCUAGGGCCAUUUGGAUAGGCGCAGUUAGCUAUGUGUAGCAGCGGCUCGAUAUUUGUGGGUAGGACAGAGAUAUUGGUCAGGACGGUAGUCCGAGCUUGGAUAGGUAACGUGAUGUGUCACGUAUUAGACCGUGUGAUCGAUAGUACGCUGAGAGUGUGAAUUUGACCCACCCUUAAAAUUUGUAAGUGGUUUGGAAUUUGGAUUACUCUUGAUUGGAGUAACUGUGUGAGCUCUCAACUGAGGACUUUGCCUCGUGAUGAUUGAGUCUGCGCUUGCGAGCGAGAGACGCUGUGUGAUAUAGCGAUCGAUUUAGGCGAUAAACCUAUGUAAGAGCGGUGGUUUAUAAAUUGAUGUAUGAUUGUUGGGGACAAAUGGGCUAGUCGAUUAGUCUCGAAAUACGAGUAUUGGGUGUAAUAUUGUAAUUCGGGAAUAGUGACCUUAGGAGCUGAGGCUCGGUUAUACUGUUUACCUAUUUGGAAUCGCCGAAGUUAGGCGCAAAUGAGGAGUUGAGGGUAGAAGCACGAACGAGGUGUUCGUGGGGACUCGUUGUGAGAAAUUGGUAUAGUAUGGAACGAGGUGUUCGUGUUUGGGGAAAUGAGAUAUCCUUUUUGAAAUUGUUGUAUAGUGGAAAGCCACGUGAGGUUUGGAGGAUUAUGCCCUCAAAUUGCUAAAGUUGUGGUAGUGCUGGGGACUUUUUGGUUUGGUGCUAUGUUUAUAUGAUUCACACCGUGAGAAGAAACGAGUAGUACUGUUCCUUGAGGAAAAGAAAUGAUACUUACUGGUAGUGAGUGAUUGUCGUCUGUUGAUGAUAAUUGAUGACAACACGGGCCUGACAAGUGGAUUGUUCGAGCAUUUGUGGAUUGUGUGAAGGGAAUGCCUGUCGGAGCUAUGUAAAAAGGCAGAGUAGAAUAGUGGCUGAAUUAUAUUAUUUUGCUCCGGCGAAAUUUUAAAUUCGCAGUUGAGUACGGCAUUUGUUGAUGUCGAGGAAAGCAGAGUCCUUGAUACAUCAAACCCUAUGGAUAUCGCUGCCAAGUAUGUGAGAGAAUGCACAAUUAAAGCGGGACGUGACAGAUUAAAGCGGGAAUUGUAGAAAGUACUAUAUGAGGUGAUUCAGGAAUAAUAUCUGUUGUGCAUUCUGGGCUUGUGGGAAUGAGGAAAUUAUAGAAUUGUAUAAUUCUGUGUAUUGGUAAGUGUUGAAACCUAUCUUCAGCUGUUCGAUCGGAUGAAUGUAUGUAUGUAUCUAAGUUUCGCGGACGAAACUUUUGGUUAACGGGGGGAGAAUGUAAUACACCGAAUUUUUAAUAUAAAAAUAGAUGUAAAUAAAAAUAGUGUAAAAUACUAUUUUUAUUGGAUUUAGAGAAGUAAAAUAUAAGUCGGAAACGACUUGUGCUGAAAUCGGAACGAAAACAGAAUAUUCAGAAUUUUUUGUGAGAAACGGGACUGAUAUUUUAGCAGAAAAUGCAGUGUCAGAAAAUUAUGAAAAUUAGAGAAUAUGUCAAAGUUAUUUUUAUUAGGCUAGACUUAAAGUUUCAUAUCAUUCUGACACCCGGAAGGUGAAAAAUAAAAUCCGACUGCUAUCUGCUAGAGAUUACAGUUCGGUAGAGCUUUCGGUGACCAAAAAUGGUCGAAACUGAAAAGUUAAGAUAUUUUCCGUUUCGUUAACUUAAACCGAGCCUGACUGUCAAAUUUGAGCGAAAACGAACAUUCAGAAGUGCUCCGACGAAAAGUAUCAGAUCUGAACUAAACUGAAGUGUGAAUGUUGAUGACUUAUGGACCUACGGGCAAUUGUUACAUUGCUUAGUGGAUUUCCACUAAGCUGCCAGGCUCCAUUCUUAUCUUCUUCGUCUUCAACCUGUACGCAUGAGAGAGAGAGGGAAAGGAAGAGAAAAGGAAAAAGAAAGAAGAGAAGGAGAAUUAAUAGGGAAAAUUGAGUGGAAAUUAGUAGAUUUGAAGAAAUUGAAGCUCCAGCCCGUGAGGAGCUCGAGUGGCCAUGAGUCAAGGUGGGUUAUCUUGUAAUUUCUUGGUUGGGGAUUGAUAUAAUUUCCUAAGUUAAUGGGUUGUGAGGUUCUUGAAGUGUUGAGAUUGGCUUACUAUAUACAUUUUUAAGCAACCUGUGAUAGUAGAGAGUAUAAAGGAGCUAUAGGUAUCAUGUAUUAGCUUUGGCAACUAGGAAUUAGGAAAACUAACCUGCAGGUUAUAGAGUCCUUUAUUAGGAAUGGAUGUAAAGCCUCUAAAUUAAUUAAUUUUGAAUAGGAAUGGAUGUAAAGCCUCUAAGUUAAUUAAUUUUGAAGUUCUUGGGCUAGUAAGAGUCGAGUUACUCUAUAUGCUUUUGUGAAAUUGUAUAGUAACAGGUUGUUAUAUUUUCUUGAUUAGGGUUAUGUUAUUUUCCCUAAUAAGGAUUAAGCUAUGGAUUCUUAAUUGCUAAAGUUAGUAGUUACCAUGAGGAAACCUAGAGUAGAUUAAUCUUAAUUCCUGAUUAGAGUUUAUUGUAAUUAACCUAAGGAAGAAUUGGAACAUGAUUAUGACAGGAAUUUGCAUCUAUUAGAGGCUAAAACUUGUAGAUGCUAUCUAAUACUAGAACUUAUACUAAGCUAGCAGCCUAUAUGUAUAAAUUGGAAAUUAAAUGUAAAUAUUGAUGGGAAAUGAAACUUGAGAUUAACUUAGGCUGUUACUUUGGUAGGGUCUAUGUUUAUUUACCCUAAAUGUAAUACAUCGAAUUUUGAUUACAUUGCUAAUCUUGAUCAAAUUGAUCAAGAUAAUGCAAAAAAAUAAAAUUGGUUUAUUCCCAAGCUUAAUUGGUAACUUGUGGAGGUUUAUGAGCAUAAUUAGGAAGUGAUUAGAAGUAUUCGAAGCGAACUAGACGCGCAAAAUGGGCUGAAAACUGCUGCUGCCAGCUGUUGUUUAGUGCAGGGACUGAUUCGUAAACCUGCAGGGACUGAUUUGCGAACCUGCAGGGACUGAACUGCGAACUACUAGACUGCAAUGCAGUUUCGGUCUUUUAAGGGUUUAAGCUGCAAUUUUCUGCUCUUAUCUCUUUAACCCAGAUGUCUAGCACUUGCCCAGGUACUUGAACAACACUCCACAGCCUUUCAUCUCAUCUAAUUCUCCCUCUCUUUCUCUCUCAACCCAAGAAGAAAACUAGUGAAGGAAUUGUUGGAGAAAUGGCAUGAGCUUUGGUGUUUUGGUCUUAUUGGAGCUACCGAAGUGGGAAACCCAGCCUUGGAAGCUUCGAACUUAAGGUAAUUAGUUUACUUCUCAGCUGGGGUUUAGUUUAUUUGCUCCUUGAGAGAGAUUUUUAGGUGAAUUAAGCUUGUAGAGGCUUAAAGAGGCUUAUGGAACCUUGUUGAUAGAAUGUAUGUAUAUGUUAAUGAAAUGUUAGGGUAAAAAGGCUGAAAUCGAAUGGUUAGAUAACUCUGAUUUGAGUAUGUUCUCGUUCUAAGGAAGUUUGAACCAUAAAGUUUAGGGUUUAAAGCUUGUGGAUGAUGCUAUAUAAACCUAGCAACGUAGAAACUAUGCUAGGGAAAGCAUGUAUAUGUAUUUAUACUUAUGAAUGGUUGUUGGGAAUAAGAAUUUGAGAUGGAUUAAUCCUAAACCCAGGUUUGUAGAAUGUUCCCUGUUAUGUAAAAGGGCUGAACAAGAGUUUCUUAAGCGCUAAGACCCCAAUUGCCAUGAACCCUAUAGAAAUUAGCACUAUGCUAUAUAUAUAUAUGCAAGUAUAUAUAUAUAUAUAUAUAUAUAUAUAUAUUAUGAGUAGUUGUUAGGGAUAAAAUUUGAGAUGGAAUAACAUUAAUAUCUACUUGAGAAUAAUAUGGUUGCUGUAUAGAGAAGUUAAAUGAUGGAUCAAUUAGCUUCUAAAGGUUGAGGCGGUUGUGGAUAAACCUAUAAAAGCUAUGUAUGAACCUAUAGUGAACUAUAGGUUGUAUAGUUGAUUUAUAAGCUGUGGUUUGGGUUAAAAUGGAAUUGUGGCUGAGAAUAUGACCUUAUAAUGCUUAGGGAUGAUGUUUACUACCCUAAUGGAGGUUAGUUAGGAGUUAGUCUAGUUUCCAAAACCCUAAACUGCCAUAGGGAACCUAACAGAAAACUAUAGGUAUGUAUAUAUGACAUUAUGCAUACGAAUUGGAGUCAAAUGCAAAGUUUGUAAAGAUGUGAAUGUGACUUAGGUUUAAUCUCUUUUAUUCCUUCUUGAAGGAAGGUGUAACGUGCUCAGAAGCUUAAAUUGGUAUUUCGACGGACCUACGACGCGCUAAUUGAGAAACGCUUCGUUCUAACUACGGGUACAUCGAGUCGCGAGGACGUGAUACUUGUGAGCUCCGGGAUAUUGGCUUUAGUAUUUCGGCAUCCCUAUAGGUGGGUGGUGCUAUCCGAAAUCUUUGAAUCACCUUUUAUGUCUAUAAUAAUUCAUUGAGCAUAUUUAUAUUUGUAGUCAUGCAUUAUAGGGUAUUGGCAUUGUGCAAGUGAAAGUGUGAAUUGCUAUCAACAGUGAGAACAUGUGAACAUUAGAAUGUGGAUAUAGAACCCUAUGAAUGUAUGGACUAUAACAAUAGUGAACUUGGUGACAUUCUAACUAGAGAUUUGGUUAGCAUCGAGAAAUGAAAUUGCAACUAGCAUAAAGAGCUAGUUAGAGUUAAAGUGUGACAUUGUCUGUUGUUAAAUCCUCUAAAGGAGGAUCAGAUCAUACUCACAUAGUCUGUUUUGAGCGUGGUGCU
rnacentral:lncRNA from 1 species